GCGAGCUGUAUGACGCGAAAGUGUCACGUACAGUUUUAAAGGGAAGAAAACUAUAAGUUAUGCGAUGCUAAUGAAAGGUGAAGAUGUAAUGAGCAGAUCGAAAGUGAAGUGAGUGAAGUUUAAUCGAGUAAAAAGUGUUGAAAAUGAAAUGUCUACUUAUCCUAGC
rnacentral:ncRNA from 1 species